AUUGAACGCUGGCGGCAGGCCUAACACAUGCAAGUCGAACGGUAGCACAGAGAGCUUGCUCUCGGGUGACGAGUGGCGGACGGGUGAGUAAUGUCUGGGAAACUGCCCGAUGGAGGGGGAUAACUACUGGAAACGGUAGCUAAUACCGCAUAACGUCGCAAGACCAAAGUGGGGGACCUUCGGGCCUCACACCAUCGGAUGUGCCCAGAUGGGAUUAGCUAGUAGGUGGGGUAAUGGCUCACCUAAGCGACGAUCCCUAGCUGGUCUGAGAGGAUGACCAGCCACACUGGAACUGAGACACGGUCCAGACUCCUACGGGAGGCAGCAGUGGGGAAUAUUGCACAAUGGGCGCAAGCCUGAUGCAGCCAUGCCGCGUGUAUGAAGAAGGCCUUCGGGUUGUAAAGUACUUUCGGCGGGGAGGAAGGCGGUGAGGUUAAUAACCUUGCCGAUUGACGUUACCCGCAGAAGAAGCACCGGCUAACUCCGUGCCAGCAGCCGCCGUAA
rnacentral:rRNA from 1 species